AUUUUUUUUUUUAAAGACUGGAAAUGUAGGUCAGUGUGAGGUAUAAGGGCCCUGACUUCAGUCCCCAGUAUCACACACAUACCCCCCCCAAAAAAAGGAAAACAAAAACACUUCAAAUGCUGUACUCUACCUAAAUAGAAAAAAUUCUCUGUAAAUCAGGCAUGGUUGUAUAUACCCAUUAUUCAGCAUGCUAAGAGGCUGAGGCAGGAGGAUCACAAGUUCCAGCCCAGCAGAGCAACUUAGUGACUUAUCUCAAUGCUGGUCAGGUUACGGAGUGCAGCUGCUCCUCCUUCAGAUGUCUAGAAUUGUCCCCAAGAAGCCAGGGGUUUGUCCCCACUAUUCCACAUAGUUCCAGGCGUUUGGAGAGUGCGCCGCGCUGCAGUCCUCACGCCGGUGCUCACCUGGGCUUUCCCUGCCUGUGUUUCAGGACAAGGACUCCAGCCUGGAUGCCCAGCCACACUUCAGCACGCUGGACGCUGGCGCCCCAGGCCUUGACGCCAGCCCCUCGCCAUCCGCGUCCUCGAGCUCCCACAAGUCCACUCACACCGCCGUGUCGGAGCCCGCCUCCACUCCCACCAAGCUGAUGGCCGAGGCCAGCGCCGCAGCUGUGCCGAGCUCACCUGCCCUCCCCCACGAGGUACCGGUGCCCGGGCUCAGCCAGGCGGCCACGAUGCCAGCGCCUCUGCCUUCCCCCUCGUCCUGUGACCUCUCGCAGCAGCUCCUGCCUCAGACCAUUUUGCAGAGUCCGCCCGCCCCCGUGGCACAGUUCUCCGCACAACUCAGCAUGUUCCAGACCAUCAAGGACCAGCUGGAGCAGAGGACGCGGGUGCUGCAGGCCAACAUCCGGUGGCAGCAGGAAGAGCUCCACAAGAUCCAGGAGCAGCUGUGCCUGGUGCAGGACUCCAGCGUGCAGAUGUUCCUGCAGCAGCCGGCUAUCUCCCUGAGCUUCAGCAGUGCCCAGCGGCCCGAGGUGCAGCAGCAGCAGCUGUCGCAAAGGGUGGCUGCUGUGUCUCAGCCCCAGCUUGUGACAAGCCCCCAGCUUCCGGGCCAGAUGGCCUCGGCCCAGGUCACAAGCCAGCACCUGCUCAGAGAGUCCAGCGUGAUUGCGAGCCAGGGUCCGAAGUCCAUGCGAGGCCCCCAGGUGGUUCAGGGGAGCAGCCGCUUGGCCAGCAGCCUGCCGCCCCCCUUUGGCAGCACUGCGGCACUGCUGCCCCCGGCUCUGAGCCUGGCCGCCCCCGUGCCCACCUCCCAGGAUGCCAGCCAGUGCCAGCCGGGCCCCGACUUCAGCCACGACCGGCAGCUCAGGCUGCUGCUGAGCCAGCCCAUCCAGCCCAUGAUGCCCGGCUCCUGUGACGCGAGACCACCCGCAGAGGCCAGCAGGACAGGACAGCACGUCAAGUUCGCACCGAGCCAGGCCGCGUUUCCCAGUCCAGACUCGCACCCGGCCAGCAGCAGUGCCUCGACGCCCGUCCUGCUGAUGGGGCAGGCGGUGCUGCACCCCAGCUUCCCCGCCCCGCAGCCGGCCCUGCAGCCGCAGCCGCACUACCUGCAGGCGCCGACCUCUUUGCACAGUGAACAGUCGGACCCGCUGCUCCUCUCCACCUACUCCCAGCAGCCCGGGGCCCUGGGCUUCGCCCCGCCACCCCCCGUGCAGCCCCCGCCCACACGCCCACCCCGCAGGGUCAGCCGUGUGUCCGAGUCGUCGGGCCUCCCGCAGCCGCCCCGGUAGUGCGCCGGCACUGGAGUGGGACACGAUCAGCUCCGACCGAUGGACGAGGGGUGGUGACGGGAGACGGGAAAGCGGUCUGAGCUAAAGCCCUGGCUUCCGGCACCUGCGUACAUUUCGGAGCGCCUGGAUGCACCGCGGAGGGCCGUGCUUCCGUGCCGCGAGCUCCUCGGCGCCCUCUACAGCCAUACGGGAUGGAACCGAGCGCCCAGGCGGGCGGCGGGGCUCCGUGCACCUGCAGAGGUAGCGCCCCGGCCGCCUUCCUGGAGGGUGCACGGGUUACUCCACGCAGUGGCCCUGUCCCCACGCCCCAGCUGGCCUUCGCUGUCUCAGCCGUGUUUCUUUGCAUUGGAGAAGGACUGGGUCCAAGAUCUGUUGCAGAGAGAGAAUAAAGAGAUUAUUUUUCAUUAUUUUUAAAUGGUUGUUUUUGUUUUGUUUUAAUUUGCACAGCUGCACCGAGGAAGUAACUUAGGCACUUUCUGUUCUUAAAAAUAAUAAAGUCUCAUGACUUUAUUUGGAGCCCACGUUGAUAAACACGGCCCACCAAUCAGAUAGCGAGGCUAUCUCGGUUGUUCGUAACCGAGCCAUAGACCCAUUUCCCCUGCAGACCCCAACCCUAGUGGAGUGAAGCUCUUCAGCCCCAGCGCUCCCGGGUGAUUCCCCCUACCAUAACACUGGACAAUUUCCUGUUUACGUUGUUGAUUGCAACUACAAAGGUGGACUCCAAGCAAAGCACAGUCUUUCAGCUAAUGCAGAAUUCUGUAGAGAACUCUAAGAAGGGAAGAGGUUCCCCAGGUCAGGCUCCCACCCCAGGGGUGCAGACCCCAGGAGCCCCCCUUAAGUGAGGGUACUGCAUCUCUACUUAUUCUUCAUGAUGAUUCCAAGAAUUGGGUUUUUCCUUUUCAAAUGCACUUUGCUUUUUUUGUAUGUUUUGUUAAGUUGGGAUGUUUCUAAAGAAAAGAUUUUAUGUAAUUAUAAGAGGAAGUGUAGUGAACUGUACAGCUGUUGUAAUAAUGACCUAUUUCUAUAUAAAAUAAAAUUGUAUGGAUUAUGUGUAAAUUAUUUUGUAUCUGAGACACCAGUUCUUUUCCCAAAUAUAAAAAUAUAAAAAGUUUUCUUGUGUUUUUCUGUGAGUGGACAUUUUGUAAUAAAUUAACAACUUUGUACGAUUUCCUCUGUCCUUUGUGGUACAUCCUUGCAUGCGUAUUUCAUCUGGAAAAUUUUAUCUCAAGAUGUUUCAAGGAUAAUCAAAAAUUCGGAAAUGGAAUGUGUCAGCUUUCCACUACGGUGACAAAGUAACAGGUAAUUGAGGAAGAGAGGCUGGCUCUGGGGGCUGAGCUCCAAGGUAGACCACUUGCCUGGCAAGUGUUUCCCAGCUCUGAAAAAUUAAAAAUAAUAGCCGGGCACGGUAGUACACUCCUGUAAUCUCAGGUCCUCAGGAGGCUGAGGCAGAAGGAUAACAAGUCUGAGGCCAGUUUGAGCAACUUACUUAGUGAGAUCCUGACCCAAAACAAAAGGAGGGGUGGGUUAUGACAGCGGCAAGAGUGCUUCCCUAGCAUAUGUGAGGCUCUGGGUUCAAUCCCGAGUAUAAUAUGAAAAUACAUAAUAUAAAAGAUAGGAAAGGUUUGUUUUGGACCACCCUGGCAAAGGUUCAGGCCAUGGUCUCGGUCCUGUUGCUUUGGGCUCAGGGUGGCACUGUACGUAUAUAGUUGCAGGAGCCCAAGGAAGCCAGGAAACAAAAAAAGAAAGGGGCGGGGCCAGGAUUCAAAUAGUCCCUAAGGCCACACCCUUUGUGAUGUCACUUCCUUCAACUAGGCCCCGCCUCCCAAAGGUUCCAAGGUCUCCAGAUAGCACCAGCCUUCAAGUAAUGGCCCUUUGGGGAUAUUCCAGAUCUCAACUGUAGUACGUCCAAAACAAGCAGCACGCUUAGUGAGGUGAUGUAAGGUUUUAAACUGUGACUGUGCACCUGUCUAUCUAGCUCAUGGUCUUUCAAGUUUGUGCCAGAAAAACAAUGUUGCACCAUAGAACUGACAGCAAAAUAAAAACUGAAGAAUAGUUCCUAGAAACAUCUCGACCUUAUUGGUUCUCUAUGGAGAUGACUAAAACA
rnacentral:lncRNA from 1 species